UCCUUGUUAGUAUAGUGGUGAGUAUCCCCGCCUGUCACGCGGGAGACCGGGGUUCAAUUCCCCGACAGGGAG
rnacentral:tRNA from 1 species